UGAUAUUACACGGUGUUGGAGCUACGUUCCUAAACAUAAUUUGGAAGCAGGUAAAUUCAAACCAGAGGGGUUUGCAGCUCAGUGCUCCCAUAAUACAUUCCAGAGCAUAACAAACGAUAAUGAAACACCAAGCAUCCAAGCUGGGGACCUGAAAUAAUCGAGCAAGAGGUGUUGCUUAAAAUUUGAAAAGCAAAACAUAAUUAGUGCUGAAGGCCAAUUCCUAUAUAAAGAUCUGUGCAGUUCAAGCUAUUAUUAACUUUGCUUUUUCUAGCUGUUUGCACUAUAAAGCCUACCUCCAGGAAUGAUCUAUUAAAUUAAACCAUUAAGCUAAUAAUGGCUUGAGCGCUUCACAUUAUUACCAGAAAUGGCCCAAGGCUUGGGCCAUCACUAACUUUAUUUUUUCUUCUUGUCAGCUGAGUCAGAAAAAAAAAAAACAUACCACCAGUCGCUGGUAAAUGCAACCUUGAUAAAUGGAUACCCUUCUCCAUGGUGCGUAAUUUCCUGGACGAUCAUAAUUAACUUCUAGGAUUGGAUUGUUGUUAUUUGAGGGAGGGCUGGGGAGAGAGGGAGAAAUAAUCAUGGAGUUUUGUUUACUUAUGCUACUGGCAUUAUGGCUGGUAGAAAAUGCAAUUGAAACAUAAGAAGAAAAAAAUUGAGUAGGAAAGAUAAGUUGGGGGUGUUUGUUUUUGUGUUUUUUAAAGCCAUAAUAUCAGCUGGAAAUAGUAAUGUUUCAACGCACACAGCAACACAUUUCAGAGCAAAAUAAAGUGUUCUGAAUGUGUCCGUAAGCUCUACAUACCAUUAAUUUCAGUGGAGAAUGCCACUUAAAAGUUAAUAGCACGGGUGAAAAAGAAUAAUUACUGGACGCAGCAGCCCACUGAGAUUCCAUAGGCUGAAAAAUAAAAUAUACCGGUAAUAAAAAUGCUUUCCCCCUGCAUCUCGGGGAUUGUUCCAUUUAGCCAGCUCCAUUUGGGGGUAUUGCCUGUGAAAUGGGUAUGGCCUCAUGCUGAUGUCGCAAGGGCUCAGUUAAGGAGAGGGGCUUCACACACUGAUUAGGCAGCAGUCACACAAGCAAUCAGCUCCACUGAAGGAGCACUUUUAGGGUUCUUAUUACACUUUUAUCCGCUGCAUUGUUUAUAACAAGAGAGGAGAGAAGAAGGAGCAGGACUUUGGGCUGUCAUUUAAAGAGGAAGACGAAUCCCCUAACUUGGACACCAUUUGCAUGAACUGAGGACAGGCAACAGCCAGCUGGGGGUGGGUGCAGUUGAGAGCCCAGAGGAGCUUCCUAUCAAACUGGAAGCAUAGGGCCUGGUUUCGGCCUUUUGGUGCCAGGGCUCACCAGGGCUCAGCCCCAGCAUCUCUUUCCAGGUCAGGGUCAAAUCUUUUUUUCUGGACAUUAAGCACAGCCACAGUCCCAGACCUCUCCCAUUUCCGCAUCAUCACACCCAAUAUUACGUUCUUGUACAACUUUUCCCCCGCACAAGCCAAAACUCAGGCUAAGGGCUGUAAAAACCCAACCUCCCAGUGUGAAUAGGAACAAAGGAAAGGGCUUUGCAUUCAGUCCUGGCAUCUAGAGGAAUACCUAGGGUUCGGGGAAACCAGCCCCUGCUGGGGGUGCAGGUCUGGGGUGGGGGCACAAAAAUUCCCUAUCAACCUGUGAAGUUUAUGAAGUAUAUGUGUGUCACGACGAGUUCCCGCCAUUCUCGCACUGUGGCACAAAGGUGUGCUUUUUUCCACCCUCCCUCCUUGCCUUGCCCUCCCUCUGAGUGCUUUGAGUACUUGGGUCAUGUAAAAUGUAGUAAUUUAUAAAGUGGCUAUUACAGUAAAGUGAUUUGGGGGGCGGGGGCGAUGCAGCUCUUUGCUGUGGGCACUGAUACUGACCCUAAGUAUGCCUGUGCUUCCAUCUCAAGGCAGGGAAUGGACCCCUUUAAUGGGAUACGCUUAACCAAGAAGCGACAGGCCCAGGCUACAGCCUCUCCUCCAACCAAGACCAAGGCUUACCCAAUGCCUAACCUCACCAAGUUGUGACGAUUGCUGUGAAGUAGGUGAAAACCAAAUUUGCUGAGUGGAAAAAUUCCUGCUCGGCCCCGAAUACGGCAGCCGACAAUGUCCAUAGCAAGGUCGUAGCAUGACAGAAGAAGCAUUUGCAAAAAGGGUUGGAGUUUGGGAGAUCUGAUGGAAAAACCAGGGAGGAGUGUUGUGUCAGCGUCAAUUUAUUCCCUGGGGGGCGGACACAAGUGAUGCCAGUUGCCCAGUUGGGCCUGCCCCCAGGGAAUCCCCAGACCCAGGCCCUCCUGCCAUUGGUCAGUUCGCAGGCAGGUCUGCAGUUCUUCCCAGCCAGCUGGUGGAUUGCUGACAUGGGGCCGUGGUCAGGCUACAACACCGUGUUUAAAGUAAGUGGACUUAUCCAAUCGAUUGAGCUGUUUGGGCAAUGUGUCCCCCAAAAAAGUACAAUUCCUGAUCUGGGCUUUGUUAUAAUGGGCAUUCAGCUUCUUACCUGAAGUUGACAGUUCAGACCUGAAGGGUCUAGAAUGCUUGCAGUAGAUAAAUUUAUGAAUUUAUCUACUGCAAGCUAUGAAUCAACUUGAAGCUCCAUUUAUGAAUCAACUUGAAGGAGGCAGCUGCGAGGCUGCUUCUGAAGUUCCCCUUGGACACAGAGGUUUGCAUCAACUAUCAGAUAGCCAUAAAAUGUCCCUUGCUUGGGCAAGGUGGCUAGGCACUUCCAGUCUGUCUUGGAUGAGACUGAACUGCAAAUUCAUUUUAAGCUGGUAACAGCACAAGUUAGAGGGAUAGAGGACCAAUGUGAGAAGGACUGGGGGAGUGCAAAUUCUCCUACUGCUUAUGCAUAUACCAUUUUAUUUUAAAUCUCUAGUUUACAUAAAAUUGUUUAAAUAUUCAAUUAAAAAUAGCAACAAGAACAGACUUUAAAACAGGCACAAAAUUAUCAAAAUAUAGUUUCAAUGACCAGAUUAAAACACACACACGCACACACACACACAAAUGUACAUAACAAAAUUACAUGUCAAAUCUUUUAGCAGGUGUCAAUAACAGCACAGCAACAGGGUGUUUUAGACAAUAGGUGCUUCCACAGUAAAAUACCUAUUUACAAGUGCAGAAUGAACUGUAUGUGACACUUGGAAAAGGGCCAGUUAUGCAGAUUGGAGCAGCCAUAGUGGGCAUAUGUGGGGUAAUGUGAUCCAUAAAGUAAACUGGCUCCAAACUGUUGAGAGCUUUAUAUACUAACAGAAGCACCCUGAAUUUGGCCCAGUAACAAAUUGGCAACCAGUUCACAUCCUUGAGUAAGGAUGUAAUAUGCUGACAGGUUCUCACUCCUGUCAGCAGUCGUGCUGUGGCAUUCUACACAACUGCGAUUUCCAGACCAAGCACAAAGGAAAGUUCCACAUUGCAUUUUAUUGUGAUUUGAUUUUGGGGCAAGAGUGUGUGUGCUCAUUUUAUUGUUUGUGCUUUGUUGUUGGGUGGGAUAAAAAAUGUGAUAAGGAAAUAAACAAGCAACCAAAUAAUGGUCUUCCUCCAAGGAACUUCCAAUAAAUUCUUGCAUAUAGCAUGGCCUCUAAAAUAUGCACAAAUCAAUGAAGGAUGCAUAGAAGGCGUUUGCAGAGUGCAAGGCCUGACCUUAAGGACGUCUUUUUUCCAAAUUUCAAGAAAGAAAAACAACAAUAUGAUGCCCAUACAACUUUAAACAAAAUCAUUAGAUCACCGUCUAAACCCAUCGCAUCACCUGGGAGAAAACAAUUGUACAAGAUAAUGGAAGAGGAGUAGACAAAGGCCCAGAGAAUACUCUUGUCUAUUUCUAGAUGCGCUAUUCAUAACUCCAGCUCGGUAUCACGCUGCCAUAUUAGUAUGUGCUAUUGAUUCAUUCUUAAUACAGUGAGAUGCCCUAGUAAUGAACUCGGCAGUACCCAUAAUGAUUUCAUAUCAUGAAAUGUUAUGUGCUUUGCUCAUGACAAAGUAACAGUGGUACCAAAAAUAGCAAACCUCAUAAUAAAAUGUUAUCGAGGAUCGUGGAUUUCAAUAUAAAAAGGACUGGGCCAUACUCAAGAGCUUACUCGAAACAAAUGCAUACCUAAAAGGAGCCGCAUCGGAAAAGUCAUGUCAUUGACUGAUUCGUUAGGAGAUGCUACUUUAAAAGCGAGUUGAACCCCACAUCCCCUGAAUGCUUGUAGGAGAAUGAAAGGCAGAUGGCAGCUCAUCCUUUGGAAUGGCUGGGGCCACGUGAUCCAAAAGUGCUAAGAGGUGUCUCACCUCCAGCAGCUGCUGCCAAAGGAAAAAGAAGAAGCACUCAAUAGAUCCCAAUGUAAGUAAAUGUAGCAUUGCCAAACAUUUAAAGUACAACAUACAGGAAACUCCCAGUUUACACGGGGGUUACGUUCCAAGGCACCAUGCAUUCAAAUGAAAUCACGUAUAUUUGAAACACCAUUGAUAAAGGCUGCAAACACCCCACCCUGUGCCACACAUUUUUGUGACGUUUUUGGCUCACUUUUGGGGUUGGCGCAAUGCACGUGUUUGCAGUCGCUGACAUAUCAGACGUGCCUAAAACAGUUGUUGCCUGUAGUAUAAAAUACCAGAAUGUGAGGGUUGCCAAACCCAGAGAUCACAGCUUUACAGGGUCCAGAACCUCUGGAUGUUGUAGAACUACAACUGCUACCAUCCCUGAGCAUUGACCACGCUGACUGGGGCUGAUGGGAGUUGGAGUCCAACAGCAUCUGGUGGACCACAUGUUCCCUUUUCCCGCAUCAGAAGAUCCAAAGCAACAGGUGGAAGAUGUAGCUGUUGCCCUUUCAGGCCUGUUCUUCCACCUGUUAUGAGACAAAACCUUCAUCCUGAUUGUUAAGCCUGAAUGGAAGGCACAGCAUCUGAGCUCUCUCUCUCUCUCAUUUGGAACUUUAAACAGAUCUCACAGCUGCCAGCUGGCAAUCAGACAGAAUUAAAAGGCAUAAUGUUGCAAGCUCUCACUAAACCUGGUUCUGUCUCCCAUGUCCUCCUUAUCCUUAAGGAAGUCAAACAUUUCAUUUCUGCCAAAUUUUCUGCUUCUGAACAUUGUAACGGUGUUCACAUCUUAUGCAUUUGCUGGUUGUCCCGGAAGGGACAUGGUGGGAAUUCAGUUAUCAAACGUGUUUGUGACCAGACCUCUGGGGACAACUCCGUUUUCAAAGGGCUUCUCUGGCAUCUCUUGGCAGAGGUGAGACACCAUCCCCACCCACCAGUUCAGCUCCCAGCACUGUGCAAAUUGCUUAGCGUCAUGAAGCUGACUUAUGUAACAAAACUAUCAAGUUCCCUUUACAGCAAACCACACUUUGGCAAAUCAGAAUUUGCAAAUCAGAUAUUUUCUCCUUCGUUAUUCUAUACAAAACCAGAGGUAGGCAUUGCAAUACCUUCUUGUGAAAUCUGAUUUAUUCAUUUAGGGCACAGAAAUGGUGGUUGUGGCAAGGGUAACACAGUCAAUGGGUCCAACACUUGACACUCAAAGAAACAAAUUUGCAAGCUGGUGCUCCUUCUCCCAGUUCAGUUUCUGGCAUUGAAGUUGCCCAUUUACAGUAUAUUUAAAACAGGCUAAUUCUGCCAGGCUCAAGAGUGCAUGUAACACCAAUUAUUUUUGAUCCGCACUAUUUACCAGUUGUUCUCCAGGUCAGUUUCAAGGCAGUGGUUUACAUUAAAAAGUUCCAACUGACCUGAGCAGGCUUCCUCAAACUCGGCCCUCCAGAUGUUUUUGACCUACAAUUCCCAUGAUCCCUAGCUAGCAGGACCAGUGGUCAGGGAUGAUGGGAACUGUAGUCUCAAAACAUCUGGAGGGCUGAGUUUGAGGAAGCCUGGACCUGAGGGAGGUUUUUUUCACAUAUGAAACACACAGACACAAUCACCAGGGUGCCAAGAUCUGUUGGAGAGCCACUGCUUCAGAUGCCUCUACUGCUGGUAGAGAAAUGUUCUGGAACAGAGCUUUUUCAUCGGUGAAUCCAGCAUUACGUAACUCCAGAGCUUUUCCAAACCUUAUCUUUUCCACCAGAUUUUUAUAGCUUUCAAAAAUUUGCUUACUAAGGUGUUCUUCUUUGUUGAUGCUAUUAGUCAGUUUUUGAGCAUGUUAAUUUUGAAAGCCUGGUGUGUGUGUGCCUGAUUCAUUUUAUCGUUAAAGUUUUUAGGACUUCAAGGUAAGCUACCUAGAGGGCCAGUCUUGGCAAAAAGGCAGCAUGAUGUAAAUUAGACUUAGAUGUAGAUGAAUGUGUGAUGUGCUCAGUGGGCAAAGUUCCCAGGCACAAUUGCAAUUCUUCUUGCACAACUUUUCUUCUUCUUCCCCAGGGUAUGUAAACACACACAAUAGGUUUCUCACCUCUCUCUUUUUUUUACAUAAAAAUUGUGUGUGGCCUUGAGGGCGGGAGCCAGUAUGGAGAGCACCUUUGUGUGUGGAGUAUAUUGCCCAACAAACCUGAAACACCAAACAUCAGGCUAGAUGGGGUCUGGCUUUGCAGUGGUACAGACAUGUUAGGAGUCACUAGAGACAGAUUGGGGGCAGGGGGUGGGGCAGGUUCUGCCUAAUUGAUCUUCCUGACUGGCAACAGCUGCUGUGCCUUAGCAUGCUGCCACAAGUGAUGCAGAAAAAUGCAUUUUUGUUCCUAUGCGUGCGUUUUUUUUAGUGGGCGGAAAGGCAAUUUGAGCAUGCUUCCUAGAAGUAACAAGCAAACCUUUUAAUGCAGUUGAGAUGGUGUGUAAUGCAAGAAGCAGCUGCUUUUAAUUUGAUUGUUACUUCAUAGAAAAUGGGCUACUUAAUUGGAUUGAUCUGGAGGUCACUUGUUUUCCUAUUCCUAGGAACAAACAUACUUAAA